GUAGGUGGCAAGCGUUGUCCGGGAAUUAUUGGGGCGUAAAGCGCGCGCAGGCGGUUCUUUAAGUCUGAUGUGAAAGCCCACGGGCUCAACCGUGGAGGGUCAUUGGAAACUGGAGAACUUGAGUACAGAAGAGGAAAGCGGAAUUCCACGUGUAGCGGUGAAAUGCGUAGAGAUGUGGAGGAACACCAGUGGCGAAGGCGGCUUUCUGGUCUGUAACUGACGCUGAGGCGCGAAAGCGUGGGGAGCAAACAGGAUUAGAUACCCUGGUAGUCCACGCCGUAAACGAUGAGUGCUAAGUGGUUACGGGGGUUUCCGCCCCUUAGUGCUGCAGCUAACGCAUUAAGCACUCCGCCUGGGGAGUACGGCCGCAAAGGCUG
rnacentral:rRNA from 1 species